rnacentral:rRNA from 1 species
GUCUAUGGCCAUGCCACCCUAAAUAAGCCCGAUCCCAUCUAAUCUCAGAAGCUAAGCAGGGUCGGGCCUAAUUAGUACUUGGAUAGGAGACCCCUUAGGAAGACCAGGUGCUGUAGGCG